GGACCCGCACAAGCAGUGGAGCAUGUGGUUUAAUUCGAAGAUACGCGCAGAACCUUACCAACACUUGACAUGUUCGUCGCGAAACUAAGAGAUUAGUUUUUUCAGUUCGGCUGGACGAAACACAGGUGCUGCAUGGCUGUCGUCAGCUCGUGUCGUGAGAUGUUGGUUAAGUCCCGCAACGAGCGCAACCCCUACUUUUAGUUGCCACCAUUAAGUUGGGCACUUUAAAAGAACUGCCAGUGAUAAGCUGGAGGAAGGUGGGGAUGACGUCAAGUCCUCAUGGCCCUUAUGUGUUGGGCUACACACGUGCUACAAUGGUACUUACAAUGGGACGCAAAGAGGCGACUCUUAGCUAA
rnacentral:rRNA from 1 species